rnacentral:rRNA from 1 species
AUUGAACGCUGGCGGCAGGCCUAACACAUGCAAGUCGAACGAGCGGCGGACGGGUGAGUAAUGUAUGGGAACCUGCCUGAUGGCGGGGGAUAACUACUGGAAACGGUAGCUAAUACCGCAUACCAUCAGAGCUGCCCAUAUGGGAUUAGCUAGUUGGUGGGGUAAUGGCUCACCUAGGCGACGAUCCGUAGCUGGUUUGAGAGGAGGACCAGCCACACUGGAACUGAGACACGGCCCAGACGCCUACGGGAGGCAGCAGUGGGGAAUAUUGCACAAUGGGCGAAAGCCUGAUGCAGCCAUGCCGCGUGUAUGAAGAAGGCCUUCGGGUUGUAAAGUACUUUUAGCGGGGAGGCGGUACCCGCAGAAGAAGCACCGGCUAACUCCGUGCCAGCAGCCGCGGUAAUAC